rnacentral:RNase_P_RNA from 1 species
GCGGCGGGCGGGCAGCCUACCGAAAGGAGGAAGCUCCUCCCAUGCAGAGCGCGCCGGGGCUUAAGGCCUUAUUCGGAGCAGAAACGGUACCGGAACAUGCACAAGGCGAUGACAAUACGAGCGCAUGAGACGGAUGAAACGGCCGAUGGGUGCGCGGUGAGCAUGCAAGGCCAGAAUGGCCGCUCAGACUAAUGCUGCCUAAAACAGAAGGAGGGCUACGGCCCGCCGC